rnacentral:lncRNA from 1 species
GUCGCAUCCAACUUACUCCAAGUUUUCUGGCUCAACUCCGAAUGGAUUGGAUUGCGAGUCUGCACGUGAGAAAACCGUUUGGCUUGGCUUGGACCCCUGCCGCCCCCCACCUCCUCCACACACACCCAGUCCAGGGGUCCCCUUUAUCACCCUUUGCUUGCAACUCCAAAAGAAGUUGCCCACCUCCUGAGUCACAACACAAGGUCGAAUAAUUCCUCUAGAUGAAAGAUCAGUUUCAUUUCAAAACGAGAAUAGGUUCCUUUUUUUAUUUUCUCCACAUGGUACAAAAU